CAACUUUUCUCAGGAAGGCGGUGAUGGCAGGGGAGCAGGUAAUAAUAACUUUGGAUUUGGCAAUUGUCAUUCACAUCCUGACCGACCUCUGCCACCGUUCUUUUCUGGAACUACUAGAUCCACCAGCCCCUGCCAAGGGCAGGGAUGAUAAAUGCUAUGCAUGGGGAAGAAUUAUUCUUGCUAAUGAUCUCCGCCUUAGAAAACCUCAGCCCCUGAUGAGACCCUCAGUUCAUCUUUCUACAUUUGUUGAGGCUUCAACCAACAGAGGCAACAAGAAAGCCAUUUCCAGCAACAAGGGCCUGCCUGUGUCGACAGCAAUCAUGUAGAAACCAAGGCUCAGAUGGGAUAACCGACUUUUCCAAGUCCAACAGACAGUAAGGAAAGGAAUGGCGAGAUCAACUCAGAUCUUCUCUUAGCCAUGCUGAGGGUAAUCGCCUUGCAAUUACCUCUUCAAUGGAUAUUCCUUGCAAGAAUUAAAACUCUAUUAGGCUUUUUCCAAGAUAGCUCCUUCCAGAACUCAGUUCAUCCAGGUCAAAAAAGCACUGGAAGGUAAAUUGGCAACCACUCAUCAUAUCACAUGAUGUUUUCCAAAAUGUAAGACUGUCCCAAUCAAAGGAGCUGGUAGCAAACAUAAUGAACGUCAGCUGAGACUCUAUAAACCAAAAAAGCCCUGGGUUGACUGUGUUCAUGUGACUUCAAAAGAGGGUAAUCUGCAGGGGGUGUUCCUGCAGGGCCUACUUUGCACCCUUUGCUACCCUUUAGAUACC
rnacentral:lncRNA from 1 species